GGAAGCGCCGAUGGAGGGGGGUAACUACUGGAAACGGUAGCUAAUACCGCAUAACGUCGCAAGACCAAAGAGGGGGACCUUCGGGCCUCUUGCCAUCGGAUGUGCCCAGAUGGGAUUAGCUAGUAGGUGGGGUAAGGCUCACCUAGGCGACGAUCCCUAGCUGGUCUGAGAGGAUGACCAGCCACACUGGAACUGAGACACGGUCCAG
rnacentral:rRNA from 1 species